UACAGAGGGUGCGAGCGUUGUCCGGAAUCACUGGGCGUAAAGGGCGCGUAGGUGGCGGCCCAAGUCCAUGGUGAAAGCUCGAUGCUCAACAUCGAGUCGGCCACGGAUACUGGGUUGCUUGAGCACUGUAGGGGCAGAUGGAAUUCCGGGUGUAGCGGUGGAAUGCGUAGAGAUCCGGAAGAACACCGGUGGCGAAGGCGGUCUGCUGGGCAGUGCUGACACUGAGGCGCGACAGCGUGGGGAGCAAACAGG
rnacentral:rRNA from 1 species